rnacentral:misc_RNA from 1 species
GGAAGGAUCAUUACAAGUUGGAGGGGGAGAGGAGGGGCGAGCUUAGGAAGCGAGUUUUUGAAGAGCGAGCUUAUGAAGCAAGUUUUUGAAGAGCGGGCUUAUGAAGCAAGUUUUUUGAAGAGCGAGCUUAUGAAGCAAGUUUUUGAAGAGCGAGCUUUUGAUAGCAAGUGUCUACUCUUUGCUCUUAUAUAUGCACGAGCAGCGGGGGAAAAGAGUGUUGGAAAAGUGUUGACAUGCAAGUGUUGACAUUUGACAUUUGACAUGUAAGUGUUGACAUUUGACAUUUGACAUUUGACACUGCACAACCUCUGCAGCUCAUGUUUGCGCAUGAUUGUUUGACAGAGUUUAAUAGAAAGCAAAGAUAUACAACUUUUAACAACGGAUCUCUAGGCUCUUGCAACGAUGAAGAACGCAGUAAAGUGCGAAAAGUAAUGCGAUUUGCAUGAAUCUGUGAGUCAUUUAAUAUUUGAACGCAACUUGCGCCCUAGGGCAUGUCUGGCUGAGAGCAGAAAAACAAGAUAAAGGAAUGUGUAAGAGAGAGAAGAGUAAGGUGCUUGAUGUGGUACUUGUCGAGUAUUGAACUUGAUGUGUACUUGAUAUGGCAUGGUACUUGGAGUUGAACUUGUGCAAACCAAUAUGACAUGACGGUUGUCUUGGAAAAAGAUUAAUGGUGUAAAAGCCAUUAGGUAUUUUGACGAGGACAUUGUUUAAAAAGAGCUAGUAAAAGAAGCAUGCUUUUAGAAUCAAGUGCUAAGCAUUCUGGAUUGUAAAGGGGUGUGGAUCAAGAGUGGAAGCAGCAAGGAUAGGUGUAGAUGCGGCAGAUGGCAAUUAGCAAUUAGCAAUUAGCAAUUUGCGGCAGAUGGCAAUUUGCAGCACUUACACUUUAUACUUGGAUCCACCAUGACAUAUUCUAGCCUCAGCUCAAACAAGAUUACCCGCUGAACUUAAGCAUAUCAGUAAGCGGAGGAAAAGAAACUAACAAGGAUUCCCCUAGUAACGGCGAGUGAAGCGGGAAGAGCACAAAUUUAAAAUCACCACAUUGUCAAGUGUGGGGAAUUGUAGUCUAAAGACGGUGAUUGAGCAAGACAAGGAAGAGCAAGUUUUCUGGAAAGAGACGCCAAAGAGGGUGAGAGCCCCGUAGGAUUCCAGUCUCGCAAGAAGAGCCAGUCUACGAGUCGAGUUGUUUUGGGAAUGCAGCUCAAAGCGGGUGGUAGAUGUCAUCCAAGGCUAAAUACAGGCAAGAGACCGAUAGCGAACAAGUACCGUGAGGGAAAGAUGAAAAGGGACCUUGAAAAGGGAGUCAAAUAGUGCGUGAAAUUGUUAAAAGGGAAGCGAUAGGGGAUGAACGGGAUGCAGGAAGCGAAGGUGUUUUGGCACGAUCGGGGAGAGUGUCCAAGUCAAAGACGGUUGCGAGGGUUGGAAAAGAUUGAUGGAAAGAUGGGAACGAUUGCAAGAUUGGACCUUUAUAGACCAACAAUAAAAGACACUGGUGACCGGAAGAGAAGGAGGAAGCUUGUUGGGGUCUGGAGGAGCAGGAUUGCAGAAAUGCAAAAGGGCACCAAGGGACAGUAGCAAGCGGAGCAUUUCGCAAAUUUGACAAAUAGUCCUUUAUCGACCCGUCUUGAAACACGGACCAAGGAGUCUAACAAUGUUGCGAGCAGCAGAGUGACAAACUCGAAUGCGAAAUAAAAGUGAUAGUCUGGGAACGGGGAGGGAGUGAGUGGAGUAUGAAUAGUACUAGACUCAGCACCACGCGCACCAGAGACGCGAGAAAAGAAUUAGAUAUUCGAUCUCGCGUAAGAGUAGGAUUGUUGGGACCCGAAAGGUGGUGAACUAUGCCUGACUAGGGCAAAGCCAGAGGAAACUCUGGUGGAGGCUCGUAGCCGUUCUGACGUGCAAAUCGAUGGUCAAAGUUGGGUAUAGGGGCGAAAGACUAAUCGAACCACCUAGUAGCUGGUUCCCUC